rnacentral:rRNA from 1 species
CUACGGGGGGCUCCAGUGGGGAAUAUUGCACAAUGGGCGCAAGCCUGAUGCAGCCAUGCCGCGUGUAUGAAGAAGGCCUUCGGGUUGUAAAGUACUUUCAGCGGGGAGGAAGGAAGUAAAGUUAAUACCUUUGCUCAUUGACGUUACCCGCAGAAGAAGCACCGGCUAACUCCGUGCCAGCAGCCGCGGUAAUACGGAGGGUGCAAGCGUUAAUCGGAAUUACUGGGCGUAAAGCGCACGCAGGCGGUUUGUUAAGUCAGAUGUGAAAUCCCCGGGCUCAACCUGGGAACUGCAUCUGAUACUGGCAAGCUUGAGUCUCGUAGAGGGGGGUAGAAUUCCAGGUGUAGCGGUGAAAUGCGUAGAGAUCUGGAGGAAUACCGGCGGCGAAGGCGGCCCCCUGGACGAAGACUGACGCUCAGGUGCGAAAGCGUGGGGAGCAAACAGGAUUAGAUACCCGCGUAGUC